UGUAACCGGACACUCUCCCGCCAUAUGUCAACUGAAGUGGAAACUGACAUAUGAUUGAACUGUCUACAUUUUUCCCUCGAGUGGUUUUUCUGAACCAUGAAGCGGAAAAUAAAUGUUUGUAGCACGCUGUAUGUACUGAUUUAUUCUCAACUCACUCGUUGUAUAACGGGCGAAGUGGUAGGAUGGCGGACAGUGUGAAAGGAGUAUACGCAAAUUCUGUGAUUAUUUGGAUUUUACUGUCAAUUUAUUUUGUGUGUGUUUGUGAGGGUCACCCACAAUGCUUAGAUUCCAGACCCCCAUUUUAUUCUCACUCCAAACUAACAUUUUGUACAAAUUAUGAAGAUUUUGGAUGCUGUACCCCAAGAGACGACCUACAGUUACUCGAAAGAUACCACCGUAUUUCCAGUUUAAUUCCUGCUUCACAGAAAAAUAUGUGGGCACAAUGUUCAGCUUUUGCCAAAACAUUUUUAUGUCAAACAUGUUCACCCUAUGCUGCUCACAUAUUUGAUGCAGAGAAAAGUCAUUUAGAUACAGACUUUACUUUAAUGCCACGGGCAUUCCCUGCACUGUGUGGUCCUUACUGUAAAGACUUUUAUUAUUCAUGCAAAGAUUUAGUGAAAUAUUAUAUGGAAGAAGUUGGAGGUGCAUACUUUGAGGAGGCUAUGAGACUAGAUGCAGCUGUUAAUCAAAAUGAGACUGAAUUUUGCUCAAAAGUUGCAGUAAUGGAUAAGGAUUAUUGUUACCCAGAACUUCUAUCUAAUCCUAUACUGAAUGGAAAUAUCUCAAUUGCAAAAGUCUCUAAGGAAGGGUGUAUUUGUAUGCAGCCUUUUGCAAAGAAUCAAUUCCGAAAUCCAAUAUUUUUGAAACAUGUGAAAGAUGGCAGUAAUAGGUUAUUUGUAGGUGAACAAAUCGGCCUUGUACAUAUUAUGUAUUCAAAUGGUACCAUUCUACCCAUACCAUUUAUGAAUAUCCAAGCAGAUGUGAAGACCACUAACAACCCCGGAGAUGAGAGGGGGCUGCUAGGGAUGGCUUUUCAUCCAAAUUAUUUGUAUAAUGGAAAAUUAUACAUAUAUUAUUCCACACCACUUCAUGAUUAUGAAAAGAACUAUGGGAAUCAUAAGAUAAGAAUAGAAGAGUUGAAGAGAGAUCCAUUUGACCCAAAUCAGAUCGAUUAUUCCUAUAGUAGAGUUAUUCUUGAAGUUUACGAACCUUGGUGGAAUCAUAAUGGUGGGGAGUUAUUGUUUGGAGAUGAUGGGUAUUUGUAUGUAUUUGUUGGUGAUGGUGGGAGAGCUGGAGACCCUCUACGAUCUGGACAAAAUCUGAGAUCAAUGUUGGGUAAGGUACAUCGUAUAGAUGUAGAUAAUGUAGACCUGAAGAGACAGACCGAGUACAGUAUACCUCCAGAUAAUCCAUUUGCUGACGGUAAAGAGGCGUUACCAGAAAUAUACGCAUAUGGUGUUAGAAACAUCUGGAGGUGUGGCAAAGACCGUGGUGACCCUAUCACAAAGAAAGGUAAAGGUCGUAUACUGUGUGGUGAUGUAGGACAGAGUGCUGUAGAGGAAAUAGAUUUGAUAGAGAAAGGUGCUAACUAUGGUUGGAAUCUGAAGGAAGGUACCGCUGAUUAUUGUCCUGGCUGUAACAGAGCAAAACCUGAAGUAAAUUUAACGGAUCCUGUAGCUGAGUACGGACAUCAUGUUGGCAAGUCUGUUACAGGGGGACAUUUUUACAGAGGAUGUGAAAGUCCAAACCUUAAUGGCUACUAUAUUUAUGGAGACUUUAUGUCAGGGAAAAUCUUCCGCCUUACAGAACCUAAGAAUCCUAAUGAGAAGAAAUGGGAUCACAAGGAGUUGAACAUGUGUGGAUCAGACUGGUGUGUGCCGCCACUAACCAAUGAAUAUGAGACCAGUAUCAUCUCAUUUGGUGAAGAUGAAUAUGGAGAAGUAUAUAUGUUAUCAACUAAAUUAGCUAGCACAUCAUCAUAUCAGGGAACUGUCUACAAGAUUGUUGAUCCUAUGAGGAGAGGACAUCCAGAGUUUUGUGAAUCUUUAAGAAAACCAACAAGUCCUGGUACCAACAGGCCAACAACAGGUACCAGUCAAAAAACAAAGAAAACCAGUCCAUAUAAAAUAGCACCAACUACUACACCAGUCUAUGCUGGUUCCACUGUUAGUGAGGCUGUGUUGACUGGUUCCAGCGGUAUGUUACUAACUUUACUGUUACUGGUGGCAAAGUAUGGGAGCAUGCAGAACUAGCUUGAAGAACAAGAAUGAAUGAAAAGUACUGAAAUCCAGUAAUUGUCUUGUUGCUAUGGUGACAGUGUAAAAUACAUGCUUGAACUAAUCAUAUACUGACAGGUGAAUCUUGAUACAAGCAGCAUGGAACACAUCUAUAUUAGAAAUAUUGUUUGUUUUUGAAACAAAAAAUGUUUGUAUAAGGAAAUAUUAUACAUGUAUAGCAAUGUGUUUAGUAAGCAAUGUGUUUAGUAGGAUAGUACAAACACAAAUGAACCAUGUAAGAAAGAAAGCAACUAUCUUAUAAUUGAUGGGUAAUUUUCUUAAAAUUUUUUCUUUAAGUGAUUAUAAAUAAUAGCAAUUUUAGAUGAAAGCUUAGUGGUUAAACAAGUCGGCAGUUAAUAUAAGUACUGAAUCUUGACUUUCAUUAAAUAACUUGUAAAUAGUAUCAUCUGAUGAUCCUUAUAAUCAUUGAUCAUAUAAAGGGGGGAGGGGCUUAUUAUCUGGGAGGUUAAUCUCAGGUUGCCAGUUGUUGGAAUAGUGAAAGUUAAUCCUAUCAGUGUUUGUCAGACCAGUCUGAUCAUCCAUGCAGCUUUAUUAUACUAUAUAAUGAUGGUUGUUUAAGUUAAGUGUCUCAAGUUUGAAAUCCUUUUUAAUAGCAAUUUAAAGUGAAAAUUCAUAACUGUAUAUUUCAAUUACACAAGUACAAUGAAAUAAACUCACAGGACAUAUCGGUAUGUCAUCCAUAUAUAAAUCUGCGAAAACACAGGUUAAUAACUCCUAAUGUGAUAAAGUGACAAAAAAGAAAUGUUUCAAGGUUUUUCCUACAAAACUUUAUGUAACAAAUCCAGUGAAUCCUGAGAUUGUAAUUUCUUAUAUAUGAAUGAUCAUAUGACAUUAUAUAAUGUCAAAAUGAUAUUUUAAUGUCAUCACAUCUCAAAAUAAUGCGCUGAUAUUUAAAUUUAAUAGUGUUAAAAUCAUCAAACUUAGGCAUACAAUUUUCACAUAGUAAUAAUCUGGAGACUUUCAAGUUUUGUUUGAUAUAUAACAUACCAUACUUUAUAAGGGAGGCAUCAUAUCUGAGAUACAUUAUACUGAGUAGCAUCUAUCAUGUUCAAAGAAUUGGCUUGUUGUUGCUUGUUGUUGUCUUAUCAUGCAUAAUGUGCAAUUAAUAACAAUAUGUUUGUCUACCAACUGUCAGUGCUAUUUGCAUGAUAUAUGUGAAAAUUUGCUUGGAUUUUGUGCAAUUUGUUAAAUUUUAAAAAAGAAUCUGCAGUAUUUAAGUGCCAUUACAUGUAUGUCUUUAUUUUACUUUAUACAUAAAGUUGAUAUUUCUAUACAAGUUUUGCAGAUUUUUUUUAUCACAACGGUCCAAAUGUUUUGUAAUUUCUUUUGUAUUUAAAGAAUUUGUUGUUGUUGUUAUUGUUGUUGUUUUUCAAUUGAUGUUUUACCUCACUUUUAUCAGUAUGAUGUGUGUAUAUAUUGUUAUAUGACAUGUUUUAAGUAAAUGAAGGGUAGUACAAAUAGUUACCACUGUAAUUAGAAUAUUUAUGCACAAUUUUUUAAUGACUAUAAAUGAAUGUACACUAGUAUAAGAACCUUUUUGUCUGGCAACAUAAGGCCAACACAAUUGAUGUAAAGCAUAAUUUGCUGAUAUCCACUGCAAAGUGAUUUUAAGUUUAACACCACCCACAUAAGUCAGCUUUUUUCCUAAAAUGUAUGUAAUAAAAUCUUUAGAAAAUGUCAUGUAUUCAAAAUUGCAUGACCUAUUUAAUAUAUAACAUAUACAUUAAAUGGAAGUUUAGAUUGUUUAAUGUUUAAAGAUCAAGGCCUUUGGGUGAAUUAAUCAACAAGCCCAGGUGGUGACUGCUUCAAUAUAAACUUGCACAGUGAAAAUCUUUAACCAUUUUCUUUGCUUCAGGGUCACUUAUUUCUUCAUAGAAAUUAUGACUUUAUCUUGCAAUAAUUUUCAGGUGAGUGAUCUAGGGCCAUUAUGGCCCUCUUGUUCUGUUCCUUAAUUUAUGUUAAAGUUAAGAAAUAUGACAGAUAGACAUUUUCUUACUUAGAGUGGUCAUUUACACUGGCUUGGUUCUGGGUUACUAAAUUUUCAUACCAAAUUAUCUUGCUGUAUUAUAAUGUAGGCAGUGAUCAUUAUUUGCCAUUAACACUAAAUAUAUUAUACAGCACUGGGCAUGGAUAUAUUUUAUUAAAAAGAAGAGAGCUUUCCUGGUAGAAUUAUUUUAUUUAUAUGGUCAUAUUUUACAUUGAUAAUUUAAGUAGUUGGAUUAACUUUUUGCAGUUUAACCUAAUAAAUGUCCACAUGUUGACUAUGAAUUGACGUUAUUUACUUUAUUUGUAUCUAAACCAGAAGUCAAGAAACUUAUUUUAUUUGUGACAUAUUUUUCAAAAAGUCAAAGUUGCUGGUGGGGGUAUUAAUCACCUUUAGUGAUAGCUUUAGUUUUACUUGUACACUUACGAUGCAUAAACAAACUAUUGAAAAUACUAUUCAAAAUGCUUCUGGCAAUUAACAAGAAUAUGGAGUAGUGACAAUUUAUUUUUGUAUAUAUAGUUUGUGGUUGUCGGGGCAUAGGUUUGCCUGCAGGUUUAGACAACAGUAACAUAUGUAUUACUAGAAAUCCAUUUAUUAUCCCUUUUAAGUUUUAAAUGUAAUCCCUCUAUGUUUUAAAUGUUUCAUUUUACAUACAUGUAGUUCAAUUCAAUUGUUUUCUAAAAGCAUUAAUGUUUAUUACUGCUUUACUUAAGCUUCUUCAGUAUAAGAUAAGAACAUGUAUAGUUUAUUUGUAUUACAACUGAUGUUUUAAAGGAGCUACACUGAGGUCAAAAAGCCUAAAAACAUAAAAUUUGAAAUUUUUACAUAGAUCAAGUGAAGCUUUUAAUAUGGAAAAAUCUGCAAAGGAUAAUAAAUAUGUUUACUCAGAAUUAAAUUGAAAAUAUAUAGCUAGUGCAAUACUAAUUAAUUUUGAGAGCAACACUUUUCAUUUUGGGGGCAUUUUGCACAAUCAAAAUCAUUAUUUGGAAAAACAGGGUGAGGGAAUGAUCUGAAAAUAUGCACACUAGUUAUUCUUUCAGACUUGCAUCAAAUGGUACACAAAUCUCGUAAAAUUAUUCACAGUCCUGUCAUAUAAAAACCCUCAGUGGAGUCCCUUUAAGUCACUGACCAGCAAGGUGCUAAAGGGACAUCGUCUUCUUUUGAUAACAAUAUUUUAAAGCUUAUCCAACAGUGGCUACGAGCUACAGCUAUGUAAAAUACACGGCAGAUAUUCAUUGUGUAGUGUUUCCAUAUCUCACUACACAUACAACAUUUGGGAUUAGAUUAUGAAAUUAGCAGUAAAUUCCUUAAUUGAUUUUCAUAGACCUUUACUUACUCUAUUUCAGGUACGUAUAUUAAUGUUAAUAUACGUACCUGCUUUAUUUAUGUAAAUUCGAUACACUGUCUAAUGAACCAUUGUGUGUAUAUCAUAGAGCUUGUCUGAUACAUGUAUUAAAUAAAAUUGUUGAAGUUUUACAGCAUCUAGGUAUAGUGUUAACAAUAUCACAACGUUCAUCAAUCUUAGGUUAGUAUAGCUAAUAAAACUAAUAUGAAAUUUGAAGUUUUUAUACCAAUUACAACAAGAACAUGUUAUGAUACCAUCUAUUUGUGCAUAUUUCAUAGGCUUUAAAUUGUCUUUGUGAUACAUUCAACUUAAUUUUCCUAAAAAAGAAAUUAAGUAAUUUGACAUUGUUUGUUUGGCAAGGGCAUGUGUUGAUGUUGUGUGGUCAUAUUUUUGCAUGUAAUCAAGUUUUCUUCAUUUUUUUUAUCUAAGUCAGUCACUUUGAAUAUUUUGGAGGCUAAUAUAAUUAAAAACAUAAACUUGUAGACAAAAUCUUUGGAGUAACGUAGCCAAAUUUUGAAAGUUUUUUUUUGUAAUUAAUACAUCAAUAUACAUUUAUCCAGGCUAUAAAGAGAAGGUAUAAUGAAUCAUUCAACAGCUAGUGGCUAUUUUACCACCUAACUUCAGCUAGUUUUUAUGUACUUCUUUAGGCUGAAUUACAACAUCCUGAAUGUGAUUUCAAUGCAAAUAUAUAUGAUAGAUAAGCUAAUAUUUUAAAUGUUUUGUUUUACUUUUAGAUUGAUUGUUAAUGGCUACCCUAAAAAUCACAAGUUGUUAGUAUCAUAGACUAUUAAUUUAUUUACAUAUUUUGUAAUUUUCCAAGAAUUAAGUUGUCUGACAUUCUGUUACUUUAGCUCAGUUAUUCUAGCUACUUAAUAUGUAUAAUCAUUUACAUUCAAAUAAAAAAAAUGGUUGUGUUAUUACAAGACUUGAUUAUUUUGUUGAUAUCUUGAAUUCUUGAUAAUACAUGCAUGUAGGCAUGUGUGAUGUUUUUCUAAUACAAUGUAUAUAUGUUAAAGAUUUUGUUCUGUACAAAACAAGCAUGGUGGCAUGAUCUGGAUCAAAUUAAAUGUUUUCACAUGUGUUGUUUUUA